rnacentral:rRNA from 1 species
CUAACUCAUGAUGUCGUAAGGGAAAAUAAUGAUAAUACCUUACUAUUAGUGUCGUCCAAAUCUGGUGCCAGAAGACUCGGUAAGACCAGAGACGCAAACGUUAAUCAUCAUAAUCAGGCGUAAAGGGUUUGUAGGCAGCCUCCAUCCCCCCUCCCCCCAUCCCCAUCCCCCCUAGCGGGGGGGGGGGGGGGAGGGGGAGCCGGAGAGCUAGAAUCAAAAAGAGGUUAUAGUGUAUAACGCCUAGAGGAGGGCUGAUAUCCAUAGAUUCUAGGCAGAAUACUCAGGGCGAAGGCCACUCUCCACUAAUGAUUGACGCUGAGAAACGAAGGUUAGGAUAGGAAAUAGGAUUAGAUACCCCGGUACUCCUUUCUGUAAACGAUGAAUGGUAGUCAUUAGUUUUUUAACUAGAGACGAAGUUAACACAAUAACCAUUCCGCCUUGUGAGUACUACUGCAAAGUAGAAAACAAAAAAAUUAGUCGGUCUCGAAGCAAACGGAGUGAAGCAUGUUAUUUAAU